rnacentral:lncRNA from 1 species
AUUUGGGUUUGAAUAUGCACACCUAUAAGUUACAUUUUUCUUUUACCAAAUCUCCCUUACGUGCAAUAGUUCUUUUUUUUCUCAUCUCUUCUCAUAUAUGCUCUUUAUCUUCUUCUUUUCUUCUUUUUCCUCGAACUCUUAUCUUCGGGUUUUUCUUCUUUUCUUUUUGAAGUUGUUUAGGAGGAGGCAUGUAAUAAUGUUGUUGUGGCUGUGGGGCUAUUUUGUGAGGCAAAGCAAGUGCAAUCAGUUAGUUGUGGGCAUCUGAGGUGUUCUCAUUCUUCUUAGACUCUUGAACAGGGAGUGGCGGCGACAUGUUCCUUGCCAUGCUGAGUCAACUCUGAUCUCAUGUCUCCAAUUGGUUAAUUUUAGAAAUUGCCAAUUUGGUUUUAUGGAAUUCCUGCAAGAAAAAAAUAAAAUAAUGAACAAGGACUCGCUCAGUAUCAUUGAUCAAAUGGAUGAAAUUUUCUUCCAAUUGAAAAGAGGGGCAAUCACACAGGACCAAGCUCUAGUUCCAAGUGGUAUUAGUUUCAUAGCCAAACUAUUUCAUCAGAACAUAGCUCCUCAUAAGUCACAACUUAAUUAACAGAAAUACAACAACAGGGAAUGUCCAUACGUUUCAAUUAAUCUAAUCAGCAUAUCAUAUUACUUCAGAUUAAAAAACCAAACAAAUUAAACAAGGGAACCUUCAACAAUUUUUAUGGGUGAAAGUCAAUUAUCCCCAAGAUCUGAAAGCUGUAAAUGGAAGGAGAAGCCGACCAUGUAAAGAGGAAACUAGGUAAAUUAGCUCACCAAUAAGACGACAAGUCUCGUGAUUGACUACCAGAAAUUGUGUUUAAUUACUCGUAUCACUCAUUAAUGGCUGAUCGACCAAUCCAAAAAUCAAAACCCUAGAUUCCCAAAAAUCAAACAAAAUCCUCGAUUGAGCAAAGCCCAAAACUAAAAACAAAUGAAAGGCGAAAUCUGAGUGUUGUAUUUUGUUUACCUUCUUCGAGUUGGUAGCGAUUGCAAGAACGGAGUUAAGACGAUUAGAAGAGUCUUGGUUGGUGUAGACAUCGUAAGAGCAAAGGAUAUCAUUGGACCCAAAAUUGAAACCUUUGGUUUUUGCAAGAGAGAUAACAGGCGAGAAAAAGCUAUGAGAGUGGAGGAAAGAGGUGAGAGCUGCAGAGAUGGAGCGAAGAUGGAGUUGCAGAGAUACAAAAAUGGGAGUUGUAGAGAUAGAGUGAAGAGAGAAACGAGACGCCGUCGAAACUUGUGAUUAUUAGACAGAAGGACAUUUUUGUCACUAAUACCAAUUCUCUUUUU